GAUGAACGCUGGCGGCGUGCCUAAUACAUGCAAGUCGAGCGAACAGACGAGGAGCUUGCUCCUCUGACGUUAGCGGCGGACGGGUGAGUAACACGUGGAUAACCUACCUAUAAGACUGGGAUAACUUCGGGAAACCGUAGCUAACACCGGAUAAUAUAUUGAACCGCAUGGUUCAAUAGUGAAAGACGGUUUUGCUGUCAUUUAUAGAUGGAUCCGCGCCGCAUUAGCUAGUUGGUAAGGUAACGGCUUACCAAGGCGACGAUGCGUAGCCGACCUGAGAGGGUGAUCGGCCACACUGGAACUGAGACACGGUCCAGACUCCUACGGGAGGCAGCAGUAGGGAAUCUUCCGCAAUGGGCGAAAGCAUGACGGAGCAACGCCGCGUGAGUGAUGAAGGUCUUCGGAUCGUAAAACUCUGUUAUUAGGGAAGAACAAAUGUGUAAGUAACUAUGCACGUCUUGACGGUACCUAAUCAGAAAGCCACGGCUAACUACGUG
rnacentral:rRNA from 1 species